UGUGGUCCGCACGGGCAGUUCUAUGAUUGGAGUAAAGAGAUUUCGGAGUAAUCUUGUGUGAGGCUGAUGUUCUACGUCUGAGGUGAUUUCCGACAGGAGAACUAAACAGUCAGGCUGUGUGUCAGAGCAGUGCAGCUGAGCAGCAGAAGCUGGUAUUUUCUCUCUCACUGGAAAUCCCUAAAAUAGAGAAGAAGGCAGAACACUCCAGUCUCACAAGCUGUAGGGGCAAACCUGGCUGGGUAACAGUGUGACUUUGACGAAGUUUCUUGACUUGUCUGUGGCUCGAUUUCUCCUUUUAACAUGUGUCGGAUAGGAGUUCUUCCUGCAUGGUUUGUCCCAGGUUUACAGGAGACGUGCAGGUGAAGCAUGGAGCCCAGAGCCUGGCACAUACUGCGGGCCCUUUCAGGGUGCGGAUGGAGCAUGACGAGUCAAGGUUCUCCAACUGAGGAACAUGAAAUUGGUUCCAGUGUCUAUUUUUACAAACAAUGCUGCAGUGGACGUCUGUAUAUCUGUAUUUAUACAUCUCCAUCACCGCCUGUCGAAGCUUUACCAAUUCGUAUUCCGAAUCAUUUAGGAGAAUAUUCUUGUCUCCACCCUCUUGCCAACACUGGAUAGCAUUUAUUUUUGCCAACACCUAUCACUUAUUUUUGCCAACAAUUAACCCCUUAUUGAGAGAUUUACCCAGUAAGUACACUCAUUGGCAUAACUUAUCUGACAUCCUGGAAAAGCUGAAAUCAAUAUGAUUUUUCUCUAUGCUCUUCUGUUUUCUGACUGCUGUGUUCUCUCAGAUGAUCUGGGCCAAGAGCAGUGCAAACAUAUCCCUCUUACUUGUUGGAUGCUACUGCCUGUGGGUUCACACGCUGUUCUGGAUUUUGAGGGUGAGGGGCUGGUUCACAGGAGAGGUUUGAGGUUGGGCUUACCUAACUUCCCUUGACAGAGAGGCCAGGCUCGAGCAAUUGGGAACUCAGUCAUUCUGAAAAGUGAGGUUUCCACGAUGGGGCUUGAGAAAAAUACAAAUUGGUAAACAGAGACGUUUGAAUUUUCAUUAGAAUGAGACUUUAAAAGAUAGAUGUUUUCUGUAUUCCCAGUCCAAAUAAGUGGGGAGGUUGCAUUCAAAGGACUUUGUCUGGGGAACUUACUCUAGCGGCGGCUCUCUUGCUCUCCUUGAAUUGGUUCGCCCAUGCUGGUAACUGGCAUUUGCUAUAACACCUUGUCUGGUGAGUUCAGGAGAACAAGGAGCUAAACAUAAUCUGCGGUAGGAAACAGAGACAGCUGAUGGAUUCGUAGACAAUGUUUCGUGGAGUUAAGUGUUGUAUCCUCUUUAUCCUUUUAGAGGUCUGCUUGGUAACGUGAAAGAGACGUUCGUCCAGUGCCUGAAAUACCCUUCAUAGUGUGUUCCCAUUACAAGGGCUUAGGAAUAGUCACCUGAAGUGAGCACACCAUUUCUACUGUGGUCUUUGAUUUUUUUGCUUUAUAGGGAUUAGCAUACAUGUUUCUGAAAAUUGAAAAGUCAGGAGAGUAGAGGUAAGUAUCUGAAUUAGUUCCUUAUUGAUGCAUGUUAACAGAUUACAGAAAGAGUGGUGUGAAACAUCACACAUUUGUUGUCUCACAGUUCUGUGGAUCAGCAUUCUAGAAUGAUGUGGCUGUGCUCUCUGCUGACAGAAUUGGUCGGGGAUAGACGUGCUCAAAGCAGGCAAUGAAAUCAUCCACUGAAGCAUGUGUGGUCCACGGUGGAGCUGGUGUUUGAAUCUUCCGCUGCCUUUCCUCAGGCUGUGCCUUUAUUGCUUCCGCUCACACCUGGAAUAGGAUUUGAGUGGAAAUGUGAUUGGAGUAGAAGGCAUCAGGGAGGGAGCCUGAGCUGAGACCACAUCUUGAAAACACAGAAUUGAGGGAGCAGAUGGAAGAAAGAAAGUCAGCAGGCUUGGAGGAUGAUGAUAACCCAAAGAAGAUUAAGGUGCUGGUGGAGGAGGUGGUUGGCAAAGGAGCUGGAUGACCUGUCCUGACCCACGACCCUGAACCUCAGCCAGAUUGCAGCCUCUCAGAACCAAUGCUUGGACUCCAUGUUGGCUCCAAGCCCUCAACACUGCCAAAGUCUCCACAGGAAACAGCUGGUGUCACAGCUACUGACUGUGUCCUGGCCAGCUG